UGGAAGUAAAAAUCGUAACAAGGUUUCCGUAGGUGAACCUGCGGAAGGAUCAUUACCGAGUGCGGGCCCUCGUGGCCCAACCUCCCACCCUUGUCUCUAUACACCUGUUGCUUUGGCGGGCCCACCGGGGCCACCUGGUCGCCGGGGGACAUCUGUCCCCGGGCCCGCGCCCGCCGAAGCGCUCUGUGAACCCUGAUGAAGAUGGGCUGUCUGAGUACUAUGAAAAUUGUCAAAACUUUCAACAAUGGAUCUCUUGGUUCCGGCAUCGAUGAAGAACGCAGCGAAAUGCGAUAAGUAAUGUGAAUUGCAGAAUUCCGUGAAUCAUCGAAUCUUUGAACGCACAUUGCGCCCCCUGGCAUUCCGGGGGGCAUGCCUGUCCGAGCGUCAUUUCUGCCCUCAAGCACGGCUUGUGUGUUGGGUGCGGUCCCCCCGGGGACCUGCCCGAAAGGCAGCGGCGACGUCCGUCUGGUCCUCGAGCGUAUGGGGCUUUGUCACUCGCUCGGGAAGGACUGGCGGGGGUUGGUCACCACCAAAAUUUUACCACGGUGACCUCGGAUCAGGAGAAAAAA
rnacentral:rRNA from 1 species